rnacentral:rRNA from 1 species
UACGGAAGGCAGCAGUGGGGAAUAUUGCACAAUGGGCGCAAGCCUGAUGCAGCCAUGCCGCGUGUAUGAAAAAGGCCUUCGGGUUGUAAAGUACUUUCAGUCGUGAGGAAGGUGUUAAGGUUAAUAACCUUAGCAAUUGACGUUAGCGACAGAAGAAGCACCGGCUAACUCCGUGCCAGCAGCCGCGGUAAUACGGAGGGUGCGAGCGUUAAUCGGAAUUACUGGGCGUAAAGGGCACACAGGCGGUUAAUUAAGUUGGAUGUGAAAUCCCCGGGCUUAACCUGGGAAUGGCAUUCAAGACUGGUUAGCUAGAGUCUUGUAGAGGGGGUAGAAUUCCAUGUGUAGCGGUGAAAUGCGUAGAGAUGUGGAGGAAUACCGGUGGCGAAGGCGGCCCCUGGACAAAGACUGACGCUCAUGUGCGAAAGCGUGGGGAGCAAACGAGGGAUUAGAUACC